UACGGGGGGAGCAAGCGUUGUUCGGAUUUACUGGGCGUAAAGGGCGCGUAGGCGGCCAUCACAAGUCAGUUGUGAAAUCUCCGAGCUUAACUCGGAAAGGUCAACUGAUACUGUGCGGCUAGAGUGCGGAAGGGGCAACUGGAAUUCUUGGUGUAGCGGUGAAAUGCGUAGAUAUCAGGAGGAACACCCGUGGCGAAGGCGGCUACCUGGUCCGUAUCUGACGCUGAGGCGCGAAAGCUAGGGGAGCGAACGGG
rnacentral:rRNA from 1 species